rnacentral:rRNA from 1 species
UACGGAGGGAGCUAGCGUUGUUCGGAAUUACUGGGCGUAAAGCGCACGUAGGCGGCUUUGUAAGUUAGGGGUGAAAGCCCGGAGCUCAACUCCGGAAUUGCCUUUAAGACUGCAUCGCUUGAAUCCGGGAGAGGUGAGUGGAAUUCCGAGUGUAGAGGUGAAAUUCGUAGAUAUUCGGAAGAGCACCAGUGGCGAAGGCGGCUCACUGGACCGGUAUUGACGCUGAGGUGCGAAAGCGUGGGGAGCAAACAGG